rnacentral:misc_RNA from 1 species
GAACAAGAAGUACUUGAUAUCAACGGUAUUGGUCAAGGAACCAUUGAUAAAUUAGUUGAAAACGGCGUUACAUUUAAAAAAUAAGCGAACGAAGAUUGCCUAAAAGGCGCUAAUCUGUUAGAAUAACAGUAAUCAGAGUCCUAAUGAGUUUGUCUGUUACAGGAAGCGGCAGUACUGAGAAACCCGCACAGAUGUCAAAAGGUGUUGCUGAGGUUUACAAUUGAAUUGAAAAAGAUGCACAUAUCAAUGGAUAUGUGAAUUUGGGUGGUACCGCGGAUAAGCAUAUUCGUCCCUGUCUAGCUAUGGCUAGAUAGGGAUUUUUAUUU